CAGUUGUGAAAUAGAGACAUGCAGUUGUGAAAUCCACGUUACAAGUAUACACACACACAUAUAUUGCAUAUACAAGAUAAUGAUGAAGACAUUAUGAUUAAUUAGGGUUAAAUGAGAAAUGUUGAUGCCAUAGAUCAUUAGCAGCAGAAAUUCUCCAUGGAGAUAACUAAUAUUGAAACUUGUUGAAUACUUUAAUUAUGGAACAUUAUUCACCUUUCCAGGUAGAAAGUUUUCUGUGUUGUGUUCGGAAAGAUUUUCAGAAAAGGAAUUUAAACAAUUUUCCUUGGUAACCUGUCACAAUGUAUGAAGAGCCUCAUGUAUGAGUGUCUAAAACGGAAUAAAUGUUGCUGAGUGGGGCAAGGUGUCAUCAUUCAGAUGAGUAAACAAGUUCUAUAAAUAUCUCUUGUAUUAGAAUGAGAAUAUUAGUGAGGAGAGGAGUAAAUCGUGUGACUAAAGAUGGUACUCCCACAUAUGUCAAAGAUACUCUGUGGUUGAACCCUGAGGGUAAGCUGUGAGGACCUUUCUCACACCCUUGGUGAUUCCCAAGGUUGAAGAGUACAUCAUAAAACAGUGGCAUACAAAAGAAUUUGUUAUAUACCUUCAUUACGUAGUUUUCGGGGAUGCAUCCAAAACGCACUUAAUAGGUUAGUCAUUUUUAUUGAGAGGUUUUUCUGCAAAUUCUAGAUAAUGUUAUAUUUUCUAAAGCUGGAUAAUGAAGCUGCAUAGUCAUGGCCUGUUAUAUAACAUUCAGAGAAAAAAUAUACAACUCUAUGAACACGAAGUUUUUAUUGACAUUAAGGUAUGGAAAUACUCUAGAGACAAUUUUGUAUGCUUGCUGGUAUGAGUAUGUCACCAAGAGUUCUGUCUUAAAUUAGACAUUAAAAUUUUGUUUACAAAACAGGUGGCUGACCCAUGAGGCAUAGUUUGCCAAUUGCACUUUUUAAAAUAUUGCAUUAAACUAUUAUUUAUCUUGAUAACUAAGUUGUUUUUUUUGUUUCGUUUUUGUUUUUGUUUCUGUUUUAGCUCCCUCAUAUUUUGAACCUGAGGCUAGUGGCAUUUACUCACUCUAAUCUCAGCCCUGGAAAUCAAAGCCAUCUAGAAGAAUUAUUGUGUACAUGAUUUGAGAAGACAUGCCCUUCAUUGCUGUUAUUAGUCACAGCUGCAGCCAAGAGA